rnacentral:rRNA from 1 species
CCUUGUACACACCGCCCGUCACGCCAUGGAAGUUGGUUCUACCUGAAGACGGGGCGCUAACCGCAAGGAAGCAGCCGGCCACGGUAGGGUCAAUGACUGGGGCG